GUGCCAGCCGCCGCGGUAAUACGGAGGGGGCUAGCGUUGUUCGGAAUUACUGGGCGUAAAGCGCACGUAGGCGGCUUUGUAAGUUAGAGGUGAAAGCCCAGAGCUCAACUCUGGAACUGCCUUUAAGACUGCAUCGCUUGAAUUGUGGAGAGGUAAGUGGAAUUCCGAGUGUAGAGGUGAAAUUCGUAGAUAUUCGGAAGAACACCAGUGGCGAAGGCGACUUACUGGACACAUAUUGACGCUGAGGUGCGAAAGCGUGGGGAGCAAACAGGAUUAGAUACCCCUGUAGUCC
rnacentral:rRNA from 1 species